GAAGAGGUGUCCGAGCGGUUAAGGAGAUAGACUGUAAAUCUAUUGGCGUCGUCCGUCACAGGUUCGAAUCCUGUUCUCUUCA
rnacentral:tRNA from 1 species